GUAUCAAUUAAUGACCAUAAUUUAGGAAAUUGAAAAUAAAGUAAACAUGUAAUGGCAUAAGAAUAUAAAAUUAGUAUUUUGAUUGUUUCUUUCCACAACUAUUGCAACAUAAAAACAAAGUCAUCAAGAACAUGAAAACAUGGAAAUAUAUAAAUAAAGAAAAGUAAAAAAAAGUAAAAUCAGUAGACUACCAUGAUAUUCACAGAGAAUCAGAAUUUGGUAAACACAAAAAUCACUGAAAAACUGAAAACACACAAUCUCAUAUAGCUCAACCUUAAUACAACAAAUGUUGAUAACCGAAACCUGAUAAAUCACUUAGUUUAACCUGUUUAAUGCUUGGGAUGGUUAUAUGUUAGUUAUUCCUUUUGUGGGUCCACUCUCGUAUCACAGAAACCAUGUUGAACUCCACUCCAUACCCAAUAUAAGACAUAUACCAAUUUAUUAUUACUAUUAAUAUUAUUUUUCUUUAUAAAAUAUAUCUCCAACUGGUGAGUGAAGCAUGACUCCACCUGAACUUUAAAUC
rnacentral:lncRNA from 1 species